GUAAAGGUGUCUUUAGACACCACCAUUUUGAAAAUUUUUAUUCCUCU
rfam:Picea glauca, whole genome shotgun sequence.